GCCAAAAUACCUCAGUUGGUAGAGCAGAGGACUGAAACUCCUCGGGUCACCAGUUCAAAUAC
rnacentral:tRNA from 1 species